GCAUUGGUGGUUCAGUGGUAGAAGUUCUCAGCCUGCCACGCGGGAGGCCCGGGUUCGAUUCCCGGCAAUGCA
rnacentral:tRNA from 1 species